ACGGAGGGUGCAAGCGUUAAUCGGAAUUACUGGGCGUAAAGCGCACGCAGGCGGUCUGUCAAGUCGGAUGUGAAAUCCCCGGGCUCAACCUGGGAACUGCAUUCGAAACUGGCAGGCUAGAGUCUUGUAGAGGGGGGUAGAAUUCCAGGUGUAGCGGUGAAAUGCGUAGAGAUCUGGAGGAAUACCGGUGGCGAAGGCGGCCCCCUGGACAAAGACUGACGCUCAGGUGCGAAAGCGUGGGGAGCAAACAGGAUUAGAUACCCUGGUAGUCCACGCCGUAAACGAUGUCGACUUGGAGGUUGUGCCCUUGAGGCGUGGCUUCCGGAGCUAACGCGUUAAGUCGACCGCCUGGGGAGUACGGCCGCAAGGUUAAAACUCAAAUGAAUUGACGGGGGCCCGCACAAGCGGUGGAGCAUGUGGUUUAAUUCGAUGCAACGCGAAGAACCUUACCUAC
rnacentral:rRNA from 2 species